rnacentral:rRNA from 1 species
CACCUGUUCCCAUUCCGAACACAGAAGUUAAGCUUGUCAGGGCCCAAAGUAGUUACAGGAACGCCUGUUGCAAGGUUAGGUCGAUGCGAUGC